GACGGAGGAUGCAAGCGUUAUCCGGAAUGAUUGGGCGUAAAGCGUCCGCAGGUGGCAGUUCAAGUCUGCUGUCAAAGACCGGGGCUUAACUUCGGAAAGGCAGUGGAAACUGAACAGCUAGAGUAUGGUAGGGGCAGAGGGAAUUCCUGGUGUAGCGGUGAAAUGCGCAGAUAUCAGGAGGAACACCGGUGGCGAAGGCGGGACUCUGGGCCGAUACUGACGCUGAGGAGCGAAAGCGUGGGGAGCAAAUGGG
rnacentral:rRNA from 1 species